rnacentral:snoRNA from 1 species
AUCCUUUUGUAGUUCACAAGCAUGGUGAUUGGGUUUUCACGUGCCUCCCUCAGAUCCUCAGCACUUGUUACAUUUGUCUGAUG